rnacentral:rRNA from 1 species
UACUUGGAUAACCGUGGUAAUUCUAGAGCUAAUACAUGCUAAAAAUCCCGACUUCGGAAGGGAUGUAUUUAUUAGAUUAAAAACCAAUGCCCUCUGGGCUCCUUGGUGAUUCAUGAUAACUUCUCGAAUCGCAUGGCCUUGCGCCGGCGAUGGUUCAUUCAAAUUUCUUCCCUAUCAACUUUCGAUGUUUGGGUAGUGGCCAAACAUGGUUGCAACGGGUAACGGAGGGUUAGGGCUCGACCCCGGAGAAGGAGCCUGAGAAACGGCUACUACAUCCAAGGAAGGCAGCAGGCGCGCAAAUUACCCAAUCCCGAUUCGGGGAGGUAGUGACAAUAAAUACUGAUACAGGGCUCUUUUGGGUCUUGUAAUUGGAAUGAGUACAAUUUAAAUCCCUUAACGAGGAACAAUUGGAGGGCAAGUCUGGUGCCAGCAGCCGCGGUAAUUCCAGCUCCAAUAGCGUAUAUUAAAGUUGUUGUGGUUAAAAAGCUCGUAGUUGAACCUUGGGCCUGGCUGGCCGGUCCGCCUCACCGCGUGUACUGGUCCGGCCGGGUCUUUCCCUCUGUGGAACCCCAUGCCCUUCACUGGGUGUGGCGGGGAAACAGGACUUUUACUUUGAAAAAAUUAGAGUGCUCCAGGCAGGCCUAUGCUCGAAUACAUUAGCAUGGAAUAAUGAAAUAGGACGUGCGGUUCUAUUUUGUUGGUUUCUAGGACCGCCGUAAUGAUUAAUAGGGACAGUCGGGGGCAUCAGUAUUCAAUUGUCAGAGGUGAAAUUCUUGGAUUUAUUGAAGACUAACUACUGCGAAAGCAUUUGCCAAGGAUGUUUUCAUUAAUCAGGAACGAAAGUUAGGGGAUCGAAGACGAUCAGAUACCGUCGUAGUCUUAACCAUAAACUAUGCCGAAUAGGGAUCGGACGAUGUUAUUUAUUGA